UGAGGAUUGAAGAGAGUGAAGGUGGAGUGAGUGAGAGGCUCAAGGGGGAAAAUAAACUCGCUUUCUUGUCCACUCCCCGCCUUUUACCAUGAACAGGGGACAGAAUCGGGACCAAGCCCCCCUCGAGUGUUGUGCAAGGGAUGUGUGAGUGUGCGUGUAGCCUCCACAACAUGAAAACUAGUUAGUAAGGGAAAUGGGGAUGAACUGACGAAGGCAAGGCAAGGCGAAAAUGGCUGACGCGUGAGGGAGUUGCCAGGUGCUGACGAAGACGGUGUAGUGUGCUGCGGAAUGCUCCAAGACGCGGCCAGGAGGUGGAGUGAGACCAGCAGGGAAUGCAUGACAUGUUCAUCUCUGCGGCGGGAGGUGAGCCCAGUGCAGUCUUGCAUGCCCCUGCCACUUCUGGACAGUGCCUGCAGAGGAAGCGAAAAUUGGACCAGAUUGGCAGUGGUUACAGCGGCACUGCAUCCAGUUACACAGUGACUGCUACAGCAGUGCCAGCCCAGACACUUGCUGCCAAACACCUCUCCCACCAGGCUGGUAGUUUGUACAGUGAUGGCGUGACCUUGAGCCAGAGCAAGCCGCAGCAGCAGCAGCAGCAGCCGCAACAGCAGCCGCAGCAGCAGCCGCAGCAGCAACAGCAACCACCUCCACACCAGACUCCACAGGACCACCACCAACACCAACAGCAGCAGCAUGGGCAACAUCAGCAAACUCACAAGAUUAGUAGUAACAGCACCAUCUCUUCAUCUUCCUCCUCAUCGUCAUCAGGACACCACCACCAUCACCAUCACCACCACCACCACCACUCGGCCAGAGUGGCAGGUUCGGCUAUCAAUUACCAGCAUCAGCAACACCACCACCAACCUGUCCAACAGCAGCGAGCAUCAACCAUCAAGCUCUUAGACCCAUAUCAGAAGUGCUCCACAAAGCGCAAGUGCUUUGACCACAAUGGUCACAGUGGUAGUAACUCAGGUGUAGAGAGUGGGAAGGUGGGGGCCCCAGGUGGUGCCCCAGCCACAACUGCCAAGACGGUGGCCCACGGUAAGGUGGCCCUGGGUGGCGGCCAAAACAAUGCCACCAAGGGCGGAAACUCUUCAGCUGCAGAUGGAGACUACCAGCUGGUGCAGCAUGAGACGCUGUUCUCACUUACAGCACAAUAUGAGGUGCUGGAGUUCCUGGGACGAGGCACAUUUGGUCAGGUGGUCAAGUGCUGGAAGAAAGGCACCAGUGACAUUGUGGCCAUCAAGAUCCUCAAGAACCACCCUUCAUAUGCCAGACAGGGCCAGAUUGAGGUUGGAAUCCUUACAAGACUUAGCCAAGAAAAUGCAGAUGAUUACAACUUUGUGCGAGCCUUUGAGUGUUUCCAACACAAGAAUCACACGUGCUUGGUGUUUGAGAUGCUGGAACAAAACCUCUAUGACUUCCUCAAACAGAACAAAUUUUCUCCACUGCCCCUCAAGUUCAUACGACCCAUACUUCAACAAGUCUUGACAGCUCUUCUUAAACUCAAGCAACUUGGCCUCAUUCAUGCUGACCUCAAGCCAGAGAACAUCAUGCUGGUAGAUCCUGUAAGACAGCCAUAUCGUGUCAAGGUUAUUGACUUUGGCAGUGCCUCACAUGUCAGCAAGGCUGUUUGUAACACCUACCUACAGUCUCGCUACUAUCGAGCUCCAGAGAUCGUCCUUGGGCUUCCGUUUUCUGAAGCAAUCGACAUGUGGUCACUUGGCUGUGUUAUUGCUGAACUCUUCUUGGGAUGGCCACUUUACCCUGGGUCUUCUGAGUAUGAUCAGAUUCGUUACAUCAGCCAAACACAAGGGAUCCCUGCCGAACACAUGCUGAAUAACGCCACAAAGACGACUAAGUUUUUCUACCGUGAUAAUGAAUCCACCUAUCCAUUUUGGCGACUCAAGACUCCUGAAGAACAUGAGGGUGAGACAGGCAUCAAGAGCAAAGAGGCCCGCAAGUACAUAUUCAACUGCCUAGAUGACAUGGGCCAGGUGAAUGUGCCCACAGAGCUUGAAGGUGGAGAGCUUCUGGCGGAGAAGGCAGACCGCAGGGAGUUCAUCGACCUGCUGAAGCGAAUGUUGACCAUGGACCAGGAGAGACGCAUCAGCCCUGGUGAGGCGCUGCAGCACAGCUUUGUCACCCUCCAACAUCUCUUGGACUAUCCUCACUGCUCCAAUGUUAAGGCUUCCAUGCAGCAGAUGAUGGAGGUGUGUCGCCGACCGGCUCCACCCUACGCCACUGCUGCUGCCGUCUCCCAGGCCCAGGCUCUUCCUCCCUCACUCAUGCCAAACUAUGUCCACACCACCAAUGGUUCUGUCACUCUUACCUUCAACAACCAGAUUACCAACCAGGUAGGAAAGUAUGGGCUGUACCAAAGCAGCCGCAGUGGCCGUGGGUACAGCGGCAGCAGCCGAGGAGAAGCAGCAGCAGCAGCAGCAGCAGCUGCAAGUUUCCAACCACAGUUGGUGUCUUCUAUCUUGUGUCCCCCUCCAUACCAAGGUCUGGCAUCUCCUGGAAAGCAUGUGACAGUUGUUACCCAACAGCCUCAGCUACAACUGCAACCUUCACUGCUGCCUCAGCAGGUUGGAGGUGGCAGUCAAUACGUGCCAGUGUCCAUGGUGGAGCAGCCAGGCAGAGGGAUGCUGCUCACCACUGGCACAGCAGUGGGUGGCGGGUGGGGCCGUGGGGGCCAGAUGGCUCUGGUGCCAGGAGGCUGGCAACAACUUCCUCAGCCACCAACCUCUCUACAGCAGCCAGCCAGCUUGCUCCCUGACGCUACAGAUGCAUGGCGGCGCACCUUUCUGGUGGACUCCUCUGUGGUGCAGGGGGAUGCUCCACCUGCCAUGUUUCCCGUUGACCUCCAUCCAGAAUUGUACGAAGCUUAUCCUUCAAGCACAUGGGCUGGAAGCAAGCGUCCUAGCAAGACUUCCCUAAUGGGCCAUUCCAGUGCUCAUGCUGCCCAUACCCUCCACGUCAGCGGGAGACCCGCACAGCCCCCAGCACAUGACAAGAAAGACUUGAGUCAGCAAUUGUCACCAGUCAAGAAGAGGGUGAAGGAGGGCACACCACCUGGAGCACCUUCGCACUGGAGCAACAGUGCCACUGCUCCUCAGAUCAACCACAGCAACUACCACACCAGUCACAACAGUCAUCAUUCAGCACACCAUACGGGGCACCAUCAGGGUCACAUUCAUCACCAGAGUCACCACUCCAGUCAUCAUGCACCUCAUUCCUCCAGCCAUCACCCACUGUCCCACAGCAACCACCAAGGUCACAACAGCAGCAGCAGCAGCAAUAGUGGUAGCCACAGCUCUCAUACAGUUGGGCAUCCCACUCAGCCCAGCCAGCAGACACACAGCAGUCAGCAGCACUCCAGUAGCAGUUACAGCAGCAGCAUGACGAGCAAUAACCGCCAGCAGACCAUCACCAUCCGAGACACUCCAUCACCUGCUGUGUCGGUCAUCACCAUCAGUGACAGCGAUGAUGAAGCUGGGGGAAAGUGUUGCAAAGAUCGCCACUGCUCAACGUGUGUAAAUAACAACCAUAACAAGAUUUCAAGUUCACACCAGCAGUCUCAGGCAUCGCAUGAUGACAAAUACUCCAGUUUGUCCCACAACUACUCGUCCGUUGGUGCGUCUCAAAGCCAGAAGAAGCGGCUCCUGGCCAAGGCUCAGAGUGAGUGUGUGCUGCACGUGGCCAAGCCGGAAGCUCGGGAUUACUCCACACAGCAGGCCAGGGACACCAACUACACCACCAGAGAGCACCUUGCACCUCCAGCUGCUCAUGUCCGAGACUCCCUUCUGCAGCCACCUCCUGCCCACCACGACAACCUCCCACCACCUGCAGCCCACACCCGUGACCCUGCUCGCACCCACUCUCACACUCACUCCCACUCCUACACCCAGCCACCACAGGCCCACAAAGACUACACGGUGCCAUCAGGAGUCCACCCGCCUGGGCACAAGGACUACUCCCAACCGCCAGUAGCCCACAGUAACCGUGACCAGCGCGUGGUGGUGGGGAGCGUCAAGGGCUGGAGCAGUAGCAGUGGUCGGGGAAGCAGUGUUGUGGUGGCUGGGCAGGGCAGCAGUGGUAGCAGCAGUAGUAGCAGCCUCAGCUAUGCUCACACCCUUGGUAGGGCACAUGUGCCAGGCAGCCAUCACUCACCUUCAUCCCAAGCUCACGGACUGUCACCAGUGUCACAGUUAGCAGUGAGUGGCUCCUUGGCAGGCAUUGUGCCCACUCAGGCUGAUGUAUACAGGGAAUAUCGGCGAGCUGCUCCUCCUCAGGCAGCUGCUGCUGCAGCAGCUGCUACACAGGUUUAUGUGGCUACCACCCAGCCCACUUACCUGCCCUCCUCCUUGCCAGCCACACAUACUGUUAACCCUUUCACACCAGGCUUCUAGAACAUCACCUUGAAGAUAGAUCACUAAGAGAAAGAAGGGAAGAGGAAUUGUGGUGGUGUUCAAAUGAACAUUGCACAAAACAUCCACAGUCAUCUUGUGGUGCCUCAGACUAAACGGAGGGGCUUUACCACCACCAGCUCACCACAGCAGUGGUCGUGCAGUACUGGCCGGCCCACCGGCUCAUCCUCUCCCAGCCCACAUGCAGCCCACCGCUGUGUUUCCCACACACCCUCAAGUAGCCCCUCCAUAUAAUGCUU
rnacentral:misc_RNA from 1 species